AUUGAACGCUGGCGGCAGGCCUAACACAUGCAAGUCGAGCGAGCGGCGGACGGGUGAGGAAUGUAUGGGGACUGCCCGAUAGAGGGGGAUAACUACUGGAAACGGUGGCUAAUACCGCAUACUGUCGGAGAACCCAUAUGGGAUUAGCUAGGAGGUAAGGUAAUGGCUUACCUAGGAGACGAUCACUAGCUGGUCUGAGAGGAUGAUCAGCCACACUGGGACUGAGACACGGUCCAGACUCCGACGGAGGCAGCAGUGGGGAAUAUUGCACAAUGGGCGCAAGCCUGAUGCAGCCAUGCCGCGUGUAUGAAGAAGGCCCUAGGGUUGUAAAGUACUUUCAGUCGGGAGGCGUUACCGACAGAAGAAGCACCGGCUAACUCCGUGCCAGCAGCCGCGGUAAUUC
rnacentral:rRNA from 1 species